UGGGGAAUAUUGCGCAAUGGGGGGAACCCUGACGCAGCCAUGCCGCGUGAAUGAAGAAGGCCUUAGGGUUGUAAAGUUCUUUCGGUAUUGAGGAAGGUUGAUGUGUUAAUAGCACAUCAAAUUGACGUUAAAUACAGAAGAAGCACCGGCUAACUCCGUGCCAGCAGCCGCGGUAAUACGGAGGGUGCGAGCGUUAAUCGGAAUAACUGGGCGUAAAGGGCACGCAGGCGGUUAUUUAAGUGAGGUGUGAAAGCCCCGGGCUUAACCUGGGAAUUGCAUUUCAGACUGGGUAACUAGAGUACUUUAGGGAGGGGUAGAAUUCCACGUGUAGCGGUGAAAUGCGUAGAGAUGUGGAGGAAUACCGAAGGCGAAGGCAGCCCCUUGGGAAUGUACUGACGCUCAUGUGCGAAAGCGUGGGGAGCAACCAGGAUUAGAUACCCUGGUAGUCCACGCUGUAAACGCUGUCGAUUUGGGGGUUGGGGUUUAACUCUGGCGCCCGUAGCUAACGUGAUAAAUCGACCGCCUGGGGAGUACGGCCGCAAGGUUA
rnacentral:rRNA from 1 species